rnacentral:rRNA from 1 species
UACAGAGGGUGCAAACGUUGCUCGGAAUCACUGGGCGUAAAGGGCGUGUAGGCGGGAAGUAAAGUCAGAUGUGAAAUCCCUGGGCUCAACCCAGGAACUGCAUUUGAAACUCACUUUCUUGAGUACCGGAGAGGAAGGUGGAAUACCUGGUGUAGAGGUGAAAUUCGUAGAUAUCAGGUGGAACACCAGUGGCGAAGGCGGCCUUCUGGACGGUAACUGACGCUGAGACGCGAAAGCGUGGGGAGCAAACAGG